GGCCCCCUGGCGAAAUUGGCAUACGCGGCGGGCUUAAAACCCGCUGCCGUUCACACGGCGUACCGGUUCGAACCCGGUGGGGGCUACCA
rnacentral:tRNA from 1 species